rnacentral:rRNA from 1 species
UUUUAACGGAGAGUUUGAUUCUGGCUCAGAACGAACGCUGGCGGCGUGGAUAAGACAUGCAAGUCGGACGAGAUUUUUCGUUGUAGCAAUACGAUGGAAAGUCUAGUGGCGAACGGGUGCUUAACACGUGGGCAAUCUGUCUUAAAGUGGGGGAUAGCUCGGCGAAAGCCGAAUUAAUACCGCAUGUGAUUAGAGUGGACAUCCAUUCGAAAUUAAAGGUGGCGCAAGCUACCGCUUUUUGAGGAGCCCGCGGCCUAUCAGCUUGUUGGUGAGGUAACGGCUCACCAAGGCUUUGACGGGUAGCUGGUCUGAGAGGACGACCAGCCACACUGGGACUGAGACACGGCCCAGACACCUACGGGUGGCAGCAGUCGAGAAUUUUUCUCAAUGGGGGAAACCCU